rnacentral:rRNA from 1 species
CUACGGGAGGCACCAGUUAGGAAUAUUCUACAAUGCGCGAAAGCGUGAUAGAUUGAGUCAGAGUGCGUUUCAAAUUGGAAUGCUUUUGCCAAAUGUAAAAAGUUUGGCGAAUAAGGACUGGGUAAGACGAGUGCCAGCCGCCGCGGUAAUACUCGCGGUCCAAGUCGCAGCCAUUUUUAUUGGGUCUAAAACAUCCGUAGCUUGCUUCUUAAGUUCCUUGUGAAAUUUUAUAUCUUAAAUAUAGAGCGUGCAGGGAGUACUGGGAAGCUAGAGACUGGGAGACGUAAGAAGUACAUUCAAAGUAGCGGUUAAAUGUGUUAAUCUUGGAUGGACUCACAAUAGCGAAGGCAUCUUACGAGAACAGUUCUGACAGUAAGGGAUGAAGGCUAGGGGCGCAAAACGGAUUAGAUACCCUAGUAGUC